GCAUACGGCCAAGCGAUGCGUCACUAGGGGGUAAGACUCGGAAGGGUCUCUCUCCCGGGUGGAAAAGGACAACCGUAUGGCUCAGGCCCGAAAGGGAGCAGGCAAAAGGUUGCGCGCGUUGACAGUGGCCGGAUAGC
rnacentral:SRP_RNA from 1 species